GUGCUUGAUUCAGUAGCAUGUAUACUAAAAUUAAAAUGAAACAGAGAUUACUGUGGCCCCUCUACAAGGAUAACAUGCAAAUUAGUAAAGCAUUCUAUAUUUAA
ensembl:snRNA U6 U6 spliceosomal RNA